rnacentral:rRNA from 1 species
AAUGGGGGAAACCCUGAUGCAGCGACGCCGCGUGAGUGAUGAAGGCUUGCGGGUUGUAAAGCUCUGUUCUCAGGGAAAAACACAAUGAUUGUACCUGAGGAGAAAGGACCGGCUAACUUCGUGCCAGCAGCCGCGGUAAGACGGGGGGUCCUAGCGUUGCUCGGAAUUAUUGGGCGUAAAGCGGGCGUAGGUGGCUAUGUAAGUCAGGAGUGAAAGCCCUGGGCUCAACCCAGGAAGAGCUCUUGAUACUGCUUAGCUUGAAUGUGGGAGAGGGCAGUAGAAUUCCUGGUGUAGUGGUGAAAUACGUAGAUAUCAGGAGGAAUACCGGUGGCGAAGGCGGCUGCCUGGCCCAACAUUGACACUGAGGCCCGAAAGCGUGGGGAUCAAA